rnacentral:rRNA from 1 species
ACGGAGGGUGCAAGCGUUAUUCGGAAUUACUGGGCGUAAAGCGCGGGUAGGCGGUCCUGCAAGUCGGAUGUGUAAGCCUCGGGCUUAAGCCGGGAAGUGCAUUGGAAACUGCAGGUCUUGAGUACUGGAGAGGAUGGGGGAAUUCCCGGUGUAGAGGUUAAAUUCGCAGAGAUCCGGAGGAACAUCAGUGGCGAAGGCGCCCAUCUGGACGGUAACUGACGCUGAGCCGCGAAAGCGUGGGGAUCAAACAG